AUGCUGGGGGAGCAUUCCGCUGAGAGUGUGCAUCAUCCAACCUUUUGGAUGGGGCACUGACCCUUAAUACCUGAUCCGGAUCAUACCGGCGUAGGGAAGUAU
rnacentral:ncRNA from 1 species